UACAUGGGGUGCAAACGUUGCUCGGAAUUAUUGGGCGUAAAGCGCGCGUAGGCGGUUACUCAAGUCGGAUGUGAAAGCCCUCGGCUUAACUGAGGAAGUGCACCCGAAACUGAGUAGCUAGAGUACUAAAGAGGGUCGCGGAAUUCCCGGUGUAGAGGUGAAAUUCGUAGAUAUCGGGAGGAACACCAGUGGCGAAGGCGGCGACCUGGACGGACACUGACGCUGAGACGCGAAAGCGUGGGGAGCAAACAGG
rnacentral:rRNA from 1 species